UCCUCAACUCAGCUGCACUCCACCCUCCAGUCCAGUAGGUGGCAGAAUCUGCACCUUUACACUGUUUGCCAAACACCAGUAAACAGAAGAAGAAAGUUGUUUGAAAACGCCUCAUCUUAAACCCUUCAGAAACCCUGCUGUUUCCAGCUCUCAGAUAAGACCAGUGUCUGAUGAUCUUGUGUAAAUGAUUGUCUGUGCAAAUGAUGUGGAGUUUUGUUGAUUAGUCUUUAAUGAGGUUAUUGGUUUGUGGAGGCUUGUGUUUAUACUGUAACUCUUAUAUUUGUCUGAGAACAUGUUAAAGAUGAAGCAGCAUCUGUCUAGUGCACUAUCACAGCUGAGCAAGAAGACAAGCACAAGAAUAAAAUCCCCACAUUCUCUCCAUCAGCUCAUCUACAGAUCAGAUCAGUGAAGCGAGUGAUCAGCUGUAACUCACGGCCUGUUUGUUGGCUGAGUGUUAGAGAAAUGAUGGUGAAUUCACCACAGCUCUGUGUUUAAUCUGUCUCAGACACCAUCAAGCAGAUCUAUAAUAGUGGAGGAACCCUUUCUGCUUACCUGGUGAUGCUGACCGGGCGAGAGGAGCAGGAGAGAACACACGGACAGGUGAACCACUGAGCAAACACUGGAGGAGAAACACACAGAGAGGCUGUGAUUGCGGUGCAGGUCAGUGUAAUCCUGCAGAGUGUACCUGCGGUGGAGUGUGAUGCUGAGCAUGGAAACCCUACAGAUGUAGAAAUCCUGCUUCAGCUUGCUCUCCUCGCUUCAUUUAACAGUAGUGGUGGGCAAAGUGAGGCUUCAUGAAACUGAAACAGUCGAAGCAAAUGUGUCAAAGCUUUGAAACGUUUCAAAACUCUACAGUGACACCCAGUGGUAAUUGUUAUACAUUGCUCUGGAACAGCUUCAGCAAAGAACAAUUGAGCAAAUUGAGGUAUUAAAACCCACUUUGUACCUUUGAACCUACAAGUGUUAUAGCAGAGCGGUCAGAGUUCCUGACUAUU